rnacentral:rRNA from 1 species
GAUGAACGCUGGCGACGUGCUUAACACAUGCAAGUCGAACGAAGCACUUUGAAAGCUUGCUUUUGGAGUGACUGAGUGGCGGACGGGUGAGUAACGCGUGGGUAACCUGCCUUAUACAGGGGGAUAACAGUUGGAAACGACUGCUAAUACCGCAUAAGCGCACAGUGCCGCAUGGCACAGUGUGAAAAACUCCGGUGGUAUAAGAUGGACCCGCGUCUGAUUAGCUAGUUGGUGAGGUAACGGCUCACCAAGGCGACGAUCAGUAGCCGGCUUGAGAGAGUGAUCGGCCACAUUGGGACUGAGACACGGCCCAAACUCCUACGGGAGGCAGCAGUGGGGAAUAUUGCACAAUGGGGGAAACCCUGAUGCAGCAACGCCGCGUGAGUGAAGAAGUAUUUCGGUAUGUAAAGCUCUAUCAGCAGGGAAGAUAAUGACGGUACCUGACUAAGAAGCCCCGGCUAACUACGUGCCAGCCGCCGCCGUAAUAC